rnacentral:tRNA from 1 species
AGCGGGGUGGCCUAGUUGAAACAGCACUGGGGCUGGGAGUCAGAGGGUCUGGGUUCUAAUCCCAGCUCUGCCA